UCAGUACGUGCCUAAUUAUUAAUGACACGAGGCCUUGAUUUUGCUUUUUCUUUUUGGCUUCUUUUUUGCAUUUGAGACCAAUGUUUCACCUUCGCAAUUCUCUCCCCACUCCUCUAUUGUUCUUUCACCUUUUCUCUAUUUCAGGAUGGACUUGUGUUGAUGUGUUGAAUCUUAGAAGAACUUUGAGCAGCACUUUGGAUUGUUAUUGAGCGAAGACAUCUCUUGAACACUCCUUCUUGUUGAAAACCUUAUGAGAAGACUUAUGUAUAUAUCGCUGCUCUCCUUUGCCUCCAAUUAAGAUGUCGUGCCACUUUUCAAGAUGUCAAGAUGCUAUAUCACUUUUCAAGGUGUCUUCAAAAGGGGAUAUGUGACCCCUUUAUAUAAGUGUGAGCUAGGGCUUGGGGGUAUUUUGGUCUCCAACAAAAUUCUAGCGGACCUUGGGCUAGAAAGAUGUGGGUUGGGAUCGUCUUGUACAGGCCCAACUUAAUGGAUUAACCCAUAUGUAAUUUGGAUUUCAUUCAAAUCAUGUAAUUUUGACUUAAAUAAUUAAUCCGACUUUAUUAACCAAAAUUUUAGUUGGUCAA